rnacentral:rRNA from 1 species
UAGCGGCGGACGGGUGAGUAACGCGUGGGUACACCUACCCCACAGUCCGGGAUAACAGCGGGAAACCGCUGCUAAUACCGGAUGCCUUUACCUUGGGGCAUCUUGAGGCUAAAGAAAGGCUAACGCUCUUGGGAUGCGGCCCGCGUCCCAUUAGCUAGUUGGUGACGGUAACGGCUCACCAAGGCGACGAUGGGUAGCCGGCCUGAGAGGUGGACGGCCACACUGCGACUGAGACACGGCCCAUGACUCUUACGGGAGGAGCGGUGGGGAAUC